UACGGAGGGUGCAAGCGUUAAUCGGAAUUAUUGGGCGUAAAGGGAGCGCAGGUGGGAAUGUAAGUCAGUCUUAAAAGUGCGGGGCUCAACCCCGUGAGGGGAUUGAAACUACAUUUCUUGAGUGCAGGAGAGGAAAGUGGAAUUCCUAGUGUAGCGGUGAAAUGCGUAGAGAUUAGGAGGAACACCAGUGGCGAAGGCGACUUUCUGGACUGUAACUGACACUGAGGCUCGAAAGCCAGGGGAGCGAACGGGAUUAGAUACCCCGGUAGUCCUGGCCGUAAACGAUGGAUACUAGGUGUGGGAGGUAUCGACCCCUUCCGUGCCGGAGUUAACGCAAUAAGUAUCCCGCCUGGGGAGUACGGCCGCAAGGCUGAA
rnacentral:rRNA from 1 species